UUAAAGAAUGUGAAAUUUCUAAAAAAUCCAUCUUCAUGGGACGGAGGGAGUAUAAAUUAGACCCUAAAUAUGACUCUAACAAUUGGUGAAAUAAACAAUUGGUAA
rnacentral:sRNA from 1 species